CCUACGGGUGGCAGCAGUAGGGAAUAUUGCUCAAUGGGGGAAACCCUGAAGCAGCAACGCCGCGUGGGUGAUGAAGGUUUUCGGAUUGUAAACUCCUUUUGGUAGAGAAGAUAAUGACGGUAUCUAACGAAUAAGCACCGGCUAACUCCGUGCCAGCAGCCGCGGUAAUACGGAGGGUGCAAGCGUUAGUCGGAAUCACUGGGCGUAAAGAGCGCGUAGGCGGGAUGGCAAGUCAGAUGUGAAAUCCUAUGGCUUAACCAUAGAACUGCAUUUGAAACUGUUAUUCUAGAGUAUGGGAGAGGUAGGUGGAAUUCUUGGUGUAGUGGUGAAAUCCGUAGAGAUCAAGAGGAAUACUGACUGCGAAGGCGACCUGCUGGAACAUAACUGACGCUGAUGCGCGAAAGCGUGGGGAGCAAACAGGAUGAGAUACCCUGGUAGUC
rnacentral:rRNA from 1 species